GGAAAACACAAUGUGGAAUAGGGAAGGAACGACUAAGAGCACAUCCAUAGGAAAACACAAUGUGGAAUAGGGAAGGAACGACUAACAGCACAUCCAUAGGAAAACACAAUGUGGAAUAGGGAAGGAACGACUAACAGCACAUCCAUAGGAAAACACAAUGUGGAAUAGGGAAGGAACGACUAACAGCACAUCCAUAGGAAAACACAAUGUGGAAUAGGGAAGGAACGACUAACAGCACAUCCAUAGGAAAACACAAUGUGGAAUAGGGAAGGAACGACUAACAGCACAUCCAUAGGAAUACACAAUGUGGAAUAGGGAAGGAACGACUUGUGGUCAGGCUUGUGCCGGAUAGGAAGAUGAGGACCCCAAAUAUACAUCUGAAGAGUAAGAGAGGAGAGUAAACUGAUACAAUGAAAAGAGAGGGAUGAGAGAGGAGAGGUCAUAAUGAGGGAAAUUAUAGUGUGUCUGUGUUGGUGGUGUUUGUGUUGGAGGUGUCUGUGUUGGAGGUGCCUGUGUUGGAGGUGUGUGUCUGUGUUAGAGGUGUCUGUGUUGGAGGUGUCUGUGUUGGAGGUGUCUGUGUUGGAGGUGUGUGUCUGUGUUGGAGGUGUGUGUCUGUGUUGGAGGUAUCAGUGUUGGAGGUGUCUGUGUUGGAGGUGUCUGUGUUGGAGGUGUCUGUGUUGGAGGUGUCUGUGUGAUGUGUGUCUGUGUUGGAGGUGUCUGUGUGGGGUGUGUCUGUGUUGGAGGUAUCUGUGUUGGAGGUGUCUGUGUUGGAGGUGUCUGUGUGGGGUGUGUCUGUGUUGGAGGUAUCUGUGUUGGAGGUGUGUGUCUGUGUUGGAGGUAUCUGUGUUGGAGGUGUCUGUGUGAUGUGUGUCUGUGUUGGAGGUAUCUGUGUUGGAGGUGUCUGUGUUGGAGGUAUCUGUGUUGGAGGUGUCUGUGUUGGAGGUAUCUGUGUUGGGUGUGUCUGUGUUGGAGGUAUUUGUGUUGGAGGUAUCUGUGUUGGAGGUAUCUGUGUUGGAGGUGUGUGUCUGUGUUGGAGGUAUCUGUGUUGGAGGUGUCUGUGUGGGGUGUGUCUGUGUUGGAGGUGUCUGUGUUGGAGGUAUCUGUGUUGGAGGUGUCUGUGUUGGAGGUGUCUGUGUUGGAGGUAUCUGUGUUGGGUGUGUCUGUGUUGGAGGUAUUUGUGUUGGAGGUAUCUGUGUUGGAGGUAUCUGUGUUGGAGGUGUGUGUCUGUGUUGGAGGUAUCUGUGUUGGAGGUGUCUGUGUUGGAAGUGUCUGUGUUGGAGGUGUCUGUGUGGGGUGUGUCUGUGUUGGAGGUAUCUGUGUUGGAGGUGUCUGUGUUGGAGGUAUCUGUGUUGGAGGUGUCUGUGUUGGAGGUAUCUGUGUUGGAGGUAUCUGUGUUGGAGGUGUCUGUGUUGGAGGUAUCUGUGUUGGAGGUGUGUGUCUGUGUUGGAGGUAUCUGUGUUGGAGGUGUCUGUGUUGGAGGUGUCUGUGUUGGAGGUGUCUGUGUGAUGUGUGUCUGUGUUCGAGGUGUCUGUGUGGGGUGUGUCUGUGUUGGAGGUGUCUGUGUGGGGUGUGUCUGUGUUGGAGGUAUCUGUGUUGGAGGUGUCUGUGUUGGAGGUGUCUGUGUUGGAGGUGUCUGUGUUGGAGGUGUCUGUGUGGGGUGUGUCUGUGUUGGAGGUGUCUGUGUUGGAGGUGUCUGUGUUGGUGGUGUCUGUGUCGGAGGUGUCUGUGUUGGAGGUGUCUGUGUUGGAGGUGUCUGUGUGGGGUGUGUCUGUGUUGGAGGUGUCUGUGUUGGAGGUGUCUGUGUUGGUGGUGUCUGUGUCGGAGGUGUCUGUGUUGGAGGUGUCUGUGUUGGAGGUGUCUGUGUUGGUGGUAUCUGUGUUGGUGGUGUCUGUGUCGGAGGUGUCUGUGUUGGAGGUGUCUGUGUUGGAGGUGUCUGUGUUGGAGGUGUCUGUGUUGGAGCUGUCUGUGUUGGAGGUAUCUGUGUUGGAGCUGUCUGUGUGGGGUGCAGGG
rnacentral:lncRNA from 1 species